AGUGAACGCUGGCGGUAGGCCUAACACAUGCAAGUCGAACGGCAGCACAGUAAGAGCUUGCUCUUACGGGUGGCGAGUGGCGGACGGGUGAGGAAUACAUCGGAAUCUACUUUUUCGUGGGGGAUAACGUAGGGAAACUUACGCUAAUACCGCUUACGACCUACGGGUGAAAGCAGGGGAUCUUCGGACCUUGCGCGAUUGAAUGAGCCGAUGUCGGAUUAGCUAGUUGGCGGGGUAAGGGCCCACCAAGGCGACGAUCCGUAGCUGGUCUGAGAGGAUGAUCAGCCACACUGGAACUGAGACACGGUCCAGACUCCUACGGGAGGCAGCAGUGGGGAAUAUUGGACAAUGGGCGCAAGCCUGAUCCAGCCAUACCGCGUGGGUGAAGAAGGCCUUCGGGUUGUAAAGCCCUUUUGUUGGGAAAGAAAAGCAGCAGGUUAAUACCCCGCUGUUCGGACGGUACCCAAAGAAUAAGCACCGGCGAACUUCGU
rnacentral:rRNA from 1 species